ACGAACGCUGGCGGCGUGCCUAAUACAUGCAAGUCGAGCGGACGGAUGGGAGCUUGCUCCCAGACCGUCAGCGGCGGACGGGUGAGUAACACGUGGGCAACCUGCCUGUAAGACUGGGAUAACUCCGGGAAACCGGGGCUAAUACCGGAUAACUCUUUCCCUCACAUGAGGGAAAGCUGAAAGAUGGCAUCUCGCUAUCACUUACAGAUGGGCCCGCGGCGCAUUAGCUAGUUGGUGAGGUAACGGCUCACCAAGGCGACGAUGCGUAGCCGACCUGGGAGGGUGAUCGGCCACACUGGGACUGAGACACGGCCCAGACUCCUACGGGAGGCAGCAGUAGGGAAUCUUCCGCAAUGGACGAAAGUCUGACGGAGCAACGCCGCGUGAGUGAUGAAGGUUUUCGGAUCGUAAAACUCUGUUGUCAGGGAAGAACAAGUACCGGAGUAACUGCCGGUACCUUGACGGUACCUGACCAGAAAGCCACGGCUAACUACGUG
rnacentral:rRNA from 1 species